CGGGACUGGCGGGGCUCGAACCCGCAGCUUCCGCCU
rnacentral:tRNA from 1 species